ensembl:lncRNA
GAAAACUUUACAUAUUGCAGCUGCAACCAAACUGUUUUGUUUUGUUUUUCUAUUCUCGCAGCAGUAAGUGGUGAUAUCAUUUUCCACCAGGUUUAUCUUCUGCAGGCACAAGGGAGAAGAUACUAAUUUUAACUCAUAGCUCCAAAUUAUCCUGAACAUCAAAUUCAUGUUGUCUACUUAGAAGAAAUAGAAAUAAAACAGUGCCUGCUUGGUGACCUUAGAGGCCAUAAGACAUGAUCAGAUGACUUGGAAUUGGAAUUACAGUUGGUUGUGAGUUGUCAUGUGAGUCCUGGGAAUCCUCUACAAGACAAGUGUUUUUAAUUGUUGGAGCAUUUUUCAAACCCCAGCUUUUUACUUCCAAUACCCAUGUUUUUACUGUCCAUUAGCUUCUGCAUGAUGCAUUUUCUCCUGAUAAUCCUUAACAAUUCAUCCCAUUUUUAUUACUUUACUUUUCUUUUUCUCCUCAGGUUCCUGAUACCUUUUCAAACUUUUUCAUAUUUAUCUUAUUAUUUUCACAAAUUUCUCACCAAGGCUGAUGUCAAGAGAUAUACAAGAUUGAAAUAAUUUCAAUGAUUAUAAUAUCCAGGAACUUGGUAGUGUGAUAGGGUAGUGAUUAUAAGAGGAAGACAUCAGAUCUGGAAUUUUUUUCUCAUGUUCUUUUCAUUUCUUUAUCCCACAUUUAACAGCUGUGCUUGUUACUUGACAUUAUUUUCAUGGAAGCCGUUAGAGAUGGGUUCAACAGAAGCAAAUCUGUGAUAUGUACCCAUGUUUGCCUUUGGUUUGAUUACUGUCCUUUUAAUUAUGAAGUACCAUUAUUUACCUCUAAAUGGAAGUGAGGAUUUUAAUUUGAAUGAUAUUAUCAUUAAUUAAACUAUUAUAAAGCAAUGUAAAUACACACAUAGGUGAAUUUAUGUAAACCCAUAGACAUUUACUCAGAUUUAACAUCUAGCAUUCAAAUCUUACUUUGUUAAUGAGAACACACGGCCAUUCUAUAACCCAUUACUAUUUGGAAAGUGUGGUGCUUUGAAUAAAUUUUUCCCCAUAAGUCUCAGACAUUUUAAUACUUUUUUCCAAGUUAGUUGUCAUUUGAUUAGUAGGAUAUGUAACUGUGAAGGAGGAAAUAUGUUGUGUCAGAUGAACUUUUAAGUUUCAAAAGACUAGGGCUGUUCCUGAUGUAGUUUCUACUUCCAGUUUUUGCUAUGCCUCCCUGCUUGCUGCUGUGCCCCUCCCCCCAUUGAUGGUGAUAGGCUUCUAUUACUCUGGCACUGUAAGCUCCAAAUAAGCCAUUCCUUUUUAAAUUCCCUUGGUCAUGGUGUUUUAUCACAGCACUAGAAAAGCAACUUAGACAAAAAUUACAUAACAUACAAUUCCAUUUUAUCUUUGUGAAAAAAAAAAAGUAUUCAGGAUUUUCUCCUCCAUUGUUUUUUUUUUUUUUUUGAAUAUGUGGCUACUCCCAUCUUCCCAGAAUUCUAUCACAUACUGAAGUGUUUUCUCAGAGAUUGGACACUAUAGGCCCCAACGGAAUGAUUUAGCUUAGGUAUAUAGUCAGGUCUUGGUGUAUGUUAGAAAAUCGGAUAUGAACAAAAGAUUUAGUUGUUUCUGUCUGAUGCAUCAACAUAUACAUGGAACUGCUUCUGAGAAACACACCAGCAGAAUCCCUCAGCCACAUCCAGCUUGGUUUCACUCAGUUGAUUCUGCUAAUAACACAAACAAAUCAUCCUCUGCAUGCAGAAGUGUCA